rnacentral:lncRNA from 1 species
GCCACUCCGAGCCUCUGAGGGAAGGCGGGAGCCUGAGCAAGACCAACUGGAAGAAAACGUGCGGUGCUACUGUAGAGACCUGAGCCCAUAGACAAACCCAGUUCGCUACGGCAUAUGAAGCGAGGAUCCCGCGCCCUCAGCUCGAUCCCCGAGCUCCUCCAUUCGCUUGCAGAAGCUUGAAAGGCAUGACCCGCGCGCGGGAGCCCGAGGCUGCAGAGCGGUCAUGAGGCGGUGGUCCAGGAGGAGCGGCUGCGUUACGGCAGCCCCCAAAUCCCCUCCCGGCGCGGCGCCCCCUGGAUGAGCCCCCCAGAGUCCAGACUGCCAGAGCUAAGAGUCACUUCUAAGGGCCACCAACGUCCUGAGCGCCCAAGCCACAGGCAACGCGCCUCUGUAGCUUCCUGCCCCGACACCUGCGCGCUUAACUAGACCUAGCACGCCCAGCGAACCCAAUCCACCUCCCUUCCCAGGUUCUACUGGGCGCAGGAUCUGCUGCACCGAAGGAUCAGAAAUCCCCGCGUUCAGAAGCAAGUGUCAAGACCCUUCUGGAACAACACUUUGUCACCCUCCCGAUCCCCGCCUGCUUCGGGCUGGGGCGCACAGUCCUAGACAGACACCUGGUUUUAUCCAGCGCCCUCUCAGUUCUCCACCACUACAACUCCAGCUCCACUUUGACAAUAAAGGUUUCUAAACUCGCCUAGGCACCCUCCACUCACCCGCAGCCCUGAUUUUCAGUGCGCACAGGAGAUCUCUGCCCUCGCCAGCCACAGCGAUCUCGGCAGCGCGCACUUGGCACAGCCGAUCAGGCGGACUUGGGCGCCGGCGGGGCGCCCCGGCGGCCCCCAAACAGUGACAACCUCCGUGUACCCAGUGCCCCCACCUGAAGCUAGCCCACCCCAGGACUCGGAGUGCGGGGCAGAGAGGUUGGCGGCUCUCAAGAGUACAGAGUGAGGGAGGUGGCUCGCCGGGUGAGUGGCUCCGGGCGGCAAGGGCGGGGGAGCCAAGCGUGGAGGUAACUCCGGGCGGCCGCUGAAGCCCUCCUCCUCCUCCUCCUUCUCCUCCUCCUCCUACUCCCCGCGCUCCUCUGGCGGCCGCUCCCGCUCCAGCUGCGGCGCCGCGGCCACAUCUGGGGCGCCCAUGUGCGCUCGGGGGCUCGGCUGCGUCCGCCCCGCCGCCGACCCCGCAGCCCCCUGCCCGCAGGGUGGCCCCUGGACAGGCCGGGGUCCCAGGCAGCCCCGGGUCCCCAUCGCCGCCGCCACCGCCGGGCAGAGCCAGGGUUUGCUCCGCAGCCGGCUUGGACACCCCCG